GACGGGGGGGGCAAGUGUUCUUCGGAAUGACUGGGCGUAAAAGGCACGUAGGCGGUGAAUCGGGUUGAAAGUGAAAGUCGCCAAAAAGUGGCGGAAUGCUCUCGAAACCAAUUCACUUGAGUGAGACAGAGGAGAGUGGAAUUUCGUGUGUAGGGGUGAAAUCCGUAGAUCUACGAAGGAACGCCAAAAGCGAAGGCAGCUCUCUGGGUCCCUACCGACGCUGGGGUGCGAAAGCAUGGGGAGCGAACAGG
rnacentral:rRNA from 1 species